rnacentral:lncRNA from 12 species
UUUAGCACCUCAGGUUUAAAAAUUCAGUAGUAAUAAACUAAAUAUUCUCUUAUUAUUUUUUAAAACUCUAGCCUUGAAACUCCUGGUUGUGACAUCUGCUGUGGUACAACACCAGCUCCAGAUGUAGCUGCAACCCACAGAACAAUACACCAUGACCAUUGAGAUACCUGCACAUGCAACAAGGAGUCCAGCACACUUGACCAGCCAAGCUCCCGCAUCUGAGGCAGGAACUGUCCUGAUCAGAUUUCUUGUAAGGAUGAAUCCAAGUAAAAUUACAGUUAAAUCAAAUGUAGAUGCCUGGGAAGACGUAAUGGAUUUCCUUUGUGGGGAGGAGUAACACUGAAACAACCUGUAUAUCUUGCAAUAAUAAAACUAGUUGUAAAAUAUUUUUAAACAAGGUAUGUGAACUCAAGCACAACAGCCACAGAACUUCCC